rnacentral:tRNA from 1 species
CUCGCCAUAGUUUAUAUAUAAAACAUUGACCUGCAAAAUCAAUAAAGGAGAGUACUCCUGGUGUGU